UGGGUUUUGUACAUAGGUGUGAAUGUCUGUGUGAAAGUGUGAAUGUGAAAGUAUUUUCGGCGGCACGAUCCCCGCUCGCUCCGAGGCCUAUAAAAGGACCCGCACGGCCAGUAUGAGCUCACUAGCAGAAGCGCAACUUAAGCGCCAGUGCAACUAAAGCGCCUAGUCCCUGCUCCUGAGCAACUUAUGCCUUGAGCAGCUAAAAGACUUAGAAUAUUUUCAAAUAUUUCUACACUUAUAAUAAUUUCGAGUCAGGCACGAUAUCGCAUCAUAAAGCGUAUCAGUCCUAGACUUAGAAAAAUUCUAAUUCUUGUCUAAAAAUCUCUUCUUCUAACAAUACGAUUCAAAUCAGAUUACGCAACUUAAACGCGUAUCUGUUUAUCUUCGUUUGUAAAAAUCAAAGCGGAUUUACCCAUUUAAUUUUUGUGCUACUUAGAAUAUAUGCAAGAUAUACGCAAUAUUUUAUUAUUUAUUUAUUUGAAUAUAAUUAUUUUCGUUAUAAAGAACAAAAAUCUCUUUAUUGCGAUAAACCUCCACUACCUUGUAUCCCGGACCUGAACUAUCAUAAUUGAGAAUUAUUAUAAAAAUUUAAUCUGUUGUCAGAAUCACGACGCAGAUUAGUAAAUGUUCGCGACUUUUCAGAUAAUAAAAUCAAUAGAUUUCGUAUUCUUACAUAAAUUUAAUUACUACAGGACCGAGAUAAGUCGUGACCGUUUCACAAGAGACUUUACAGGUAUGUUACAUUGUACUUUGAGGGCUUGUAAACUAAUAUUCAUGGCUGAACAAUGCAUUGAUUUAUAAUUAUUCAAAUUUUGUGCUUAAGCAUAAGUGUAAAAAUUUUAAGGUUAAGAGAUUAGGUUAUAUGUAUGGCAAUACUUACUUAUUCAAAACUUUUGCAAAAAUUUUCCAAAUUCCACGAAACCAACAGGUCCCUUAAGAAUUUGUCACUUAUUGUGAUAUGAUAUAAUGCAGCAGAAAUAUAUAAAUAUAGCAGAAGCCUAAGAUUAUUUUAUGUUUUGAAACAUGUAUAUGUUUUAUAAAAAACUUGUUUAUUACAGAGUCUUUACAAGAUGCUGAAAAUAGAGCAAUAAACAAAUCUAAAAGAUUAAUAAUCCCAAAUGACCUCAAGCGAGGAUGAACGGAAAAAGAAAGAACCGGAUGCUGUAAACCCUGUUAAACUGAAAAUUUGUAAGAAAGUGUCACAAAAGCGAAACUUCCAACGCAUUAUACAAACCUAUAAGAAUCCGGUAUUAAUAAACAGUCGAUUAGAAUUAGUUAUGGAAGACGAGAGUAAUUCUAACGAUACACUAAAUAAUGCAAACCUAGAUUGUAGUGUUCAAUUGACGGAUUUUCUCAAAGACUAUUCUCAGUGCUCUUAAACUACAGAUAAAAUAAAAGAAACAAAUCCUACGUCUACAAUA